rnacentral:lncRNA from 1 species
AGCUUUUGUGUUAUGAGCUUCUAGACUUGACUUGAGCAUUUCUUUUUCCAGACUGGGUCCAGAAACUGGCCUGAGUUGGACUGGUUCCAACUUAGAAACCAGACUGGGUCCAGGGUCAGAUUGGGCCCACUUGGAAACCAGACUGGGUCUGGGCAUGGGACUGAGUCUGACUUAGAAACUGGAUGGGUCCGGAGACAGACUGAGUGCGACUUAAAAACCUUACUGGUUCCAGGACAGACUGGGUCUGACUUAGAAACCAGACUGGGUCCAGUGUGAGGCCUCAGGUGAAUAAUAUUUCAAGACUGAACAAAAUCACUAAGGACGAAGACUGCUCUUGAACUUCCUUGGAAGGGACCACACAAGGUCCUCCUCACUACCCAGACGGCAGCCAACCUUCAGGGUCUUAAACCUUAGGUUCACAUCCCUCAAUUAAAAAGGGCUCCUCCAGACUCUUGGAAGCGCACACCAGCUGGAGACCUAAAAUUAAAAUUGACUAGAGAGGUUCCUCCCCAGAAGCAGACGGCGUCUUGAGGUGGACAGCUCUCCCAAGAUCAUGGAUCAAGACCUUCAUCUUCAAUAUGAAACCUUUAUUCCUUUUGCCUUUCUGCUAUUUGUUUUUUUCUGUUAACGCAUGGGAAGACAGUGCUCCUUAACUCUGGCAACUAUCACUGAAUGUACUGCUAAAGGCCAUAGUUACAUAACAAAAGUCCCUCGACUUUCUUGCUAAGGUAGUUUUAGAUAAUAGAAUUGCUUUAAUUACUUCUAGCUGAACAUGGAGUCUGUGCCAUAGCAAAUAGCUCCUGCUGUACCUGGAUCAACACCUCUAGUAUUGUAGCAAAUACAGGAAAUUAACAAAAAAGCCACUUGGCUAAAACAGGUUGAUGCCUCUUCAGGUACAUUCUUUGAUUUAUUUGAUACCAAUUGGCUUGGUUCCUGGGGGCCCUAAGUCUGUUGGUGUUAUCCUCCUAAUAGUUGUCAUUGUAAUCUCCCUUGUGCACUAUGUUCUCUCAGAGAUCUUAAAUGCAUGUUCACAGCCAUCAGCAGUACAUCAGGUGGGCUCAUCGUGCCUGGACAAACAGAAACGAGAUGAACGGCAAAAAACAAUUCUUCCAUGGCUCUGACAUCAUAACCUAUGAGUUUCACAAUGAGACAAGAGCAACUUAACUCUGAUGGUGACUGAGAUUGGCACUAACAUCAAAUUUUUGGUCAAUCUCUCAUGUAUGAAAUGAUGACCAAAAGAGGGGAAUUGUUAAUUAAGCAAGGAGGCCAUUAGACUGAGGUGGCUCUAAUGCUGUGGUGGCCUAUGUAAACAAACCAAAAUCUAAGCCUCUAAAUGCCUCGAGGUUACAAAAUCAAAACUCUAAGGACCACCAAUCACAAACAGCCAACCAGACUUGAAGCUAUAGUCAAUCAAUAAUUUCCUUACUUCUGCCUCUUCUCUAUAAAAGUCUGCCUGAGCUCCUGACAGUGAAGCACUCCUAGCCACCUCGUUUGGCACUGCCAGAUUCCAACAGAUGUUUGCUCAAAUAAACUCAAAAAUUUUAAUACACUUUAGUUUAUUGUUUAACAAGUGACUUCCUCUCUGGAGCUUUUUAUGACACUCUCCCUCCUCCUCGGGGGAUGUAAGCACUUGUGUCUGCUCUCUUCUAAACCGGCUUUAUCAGAGCACGUAUGAGGCUUGCACUUGCUUGCAUGCUCCUCUGCCCCUCCUGAAAUGUGUCCUCUUUGAGGCCGGGGACAAUAUCUGUAUUCUAUUCUGUGUGUUUAGCAUCUAGCACACAGGAGGCUCAAUAAAUAUUUGUUGAAUGAAUGAAUGGGGGAGGAGAAAUGAUCCAGAAAUGCCUAAUAUUAAUAACAAGCAUUUACCCAGGACUAAUUAUACGGCAGGCAUUACACAAAGGCAUGUAUGCUGAAUGGACUGAUUUAUUCCUAAGACAGCCCUAUGAAGUAGGAGCCACUAUUAUCUUCACUUUAAAUUUAAGAAAA